ensembl:lncRNA
AGAGAGGGGAGAGAGAAACAGAGAGGAGAGAGACAGAGAUAAACAGAAGAGACAGAGAUAAACAGAGAGGAGAGAGAAACAGAGAGGAGAGAGACAGAGAUAAACAGAGAGGAGAGAGAAACAGAGAGGAGAGAGACAGAGAUAAACAGAGAGGAGAGAGAAACAGAGAGGAGAGAGAAACAGAGAGGAGAGAGAAACAGAGAGGAGAGAGAAACAGAGAGGAGAGAGAAACAGAGAGGAGAGAGACAGAGAUAAACAGAGAGGAGAGAGAAACAGAGAGGAGAGAGACAGAGAGAAACAAAGAGGGGAGACAGAGAAUGUGUACUGAUAAUUUUUAUUGUUUAUUUCACUUUUGUAUAUUAUCUACCUCACUUGAAUUGGCAAUGUUAACACGUUUCCCAUGCCAAUAAAGCCCUUGAAUUUUGUGAGUGAGUGAGUGAGAGAGAGAGAGUAUUGAAAGUCAAACAACA